AGCUAAAGUUCUUGUUUUAUCAUGGGGUCCAGUGCAUCCUUAUUCCCUAAAUGGAGGUGACACUGCUGCCCAUCUUGGUGAGGAGAAAGGGAUUAGUGAUGCUUUGGGCCUCUGCUCCGACAGACAUAGAAUAGCAGGAGCAUCCGAAAUGGUGGAUUAGUUUUCAGUGUGUACCUCUGUCCUUGCUUCACACUAGUGUGCACAUAUUUUUGCUCUAAUAAGUGGUAAAAAGCAGUUUGUAGCUUCUUCGGCAGAGAAAUGAGUUCUUUCAAGCAAUUUGACUUGCCAGAUUGUGCCUUUUGAGGCAAGACAGUGCUUGUAAUCCUCGCAACAGCCUGUACAGCAAUUCUUCUCAAACUCUGUGGUGGACCAGCAAUUCCCCACCCCACCAAUGUGCCAGGGACUGGUGCCAUACUUUGUCCUUGAAGUGUCACACCCAACAUGGACUGCAGUGAAGUUGGUGUGGACCAGAAGCCAGUGGCUUAUGGACUGCACUUGUCAGUGGACCACUACUUUGAAUAGCACUGCUGUAAGUUGUCUUUAUUCUUCCACAUUGCAGAGGGAAGAACAAGAGAGUGGCUUGCCUGAAGCCACAUAGUGAGUUCAUGAUAGUGACUUCGUAGCCACUGUGCUACACCAGGGUAGCUAGGUUUUGCAAGGGAAGAAUGCACUUUCCCCAUCACUUCCUAAGAAGCAAUGAACAGUGUAUGUAGCAAAUGGAUGUGUGUACUUGCUUUCUUUUACUUAAAGGAAAUACUUUUAAUAAUGAAGGAAGAAUGACAAUGUGAAAGAUUUAUUCAAAGUUGGUAAUUGAAGAGCAUCUGAACAAGCUGGAGAAAAAUGGCAGAAACAGAAGUGCAAGAAGGAGACGAGGCUUAGUAUAUGAGCCAAAGCAGCCACAGGAUGGCAGUAUAAUAAAGAUACAGUAUUCUGUUUUAUACACUU